rnacentral:rRNA from 1 species
UGGAAGCGUCUGGAAAGGCGUGCGAUACAGGGUGACAGCCCCGUACACAAAAAUGCACAUAUUGUGAGCUCGAUGAGUAGGGCGGGACACGUGGUAUCCUGUCUGAAUAUGGGGGGACCAUCCUCCAAGGCUAAAUACUCCUGACUGACCGAUAGUGAACCAGUACCGUGAGGGAAAGGCGAAAAGAACCCCGGCGAGGGGAGUGAAAAAGAACCUGAAACCGUGUACGUACAAGCAGUGGGAGCCUCUUAAUGGGGUGACUGCGUACCUUUUGUAUAAUGGGUCAGCGACUUAUAUUCUGUAGCAAGGUUAACCGAAUAGGGGAGCCGAAGGGAAACCGAGUCUUAACUGGGCGCUAAGUUGCAGGGUAUAGACCCGAAACCCGGUGAUCUAGCCAUGGGCAGGUUGAAGGUUGGGUAACACUAACUGGAGGACCGAACCGACUAAUGUUGAAAAAUUAGCGGAUGACUUGUGGCUGGGGGUGAAAGGCCAAUCAAACCGGGAGAUAGCUGGUUCUCCCCGAAAGCUAUUUAGGUAGCGCCUCGUGAAUUCAUCUCCGGGGGUAGAGCACUGUUUCGGCAAGGGGGUCAUCCCGACUUACCAACCCGAUGCAAACUGCGAAUACCGGAGAAUGUUAUCACGGGAGACACACGGCGGGUGCUAACGUCCGUCGUGAAGAGGGAAACAACCCAGACCGCCAGCUAAGGUCCCAAAGUCAUGGUUAAGUGGGAAACGAUGUGGGAAGGCCCAGACAGCCAGGAUGUUGGCUUAGAAGCAGCCAUCAUUUAAAGAAAGCGUAAUAGCUCACUGGUCGAGUCGGCCUGCGCGGAAGAUGUAACGGGGCUAAACCAUG